rnacentral:rRNA from 1 species
UAGCCGUAAACGAUACUCGCUAGGUGUCGGCCACGGUGCGACCGUUGUCGGUGCCGUAGGGAAGCCGUGAAGCGAGCCACCUGGGAAGUACGGCCGCAAGGCUGAAACUUAAAGGAAUUGGCGGGGGAGCACCACAACGGGUGGAGCUUGCGGUUUAAUUGGAUUCAACGCCGGAAAUCUUACCGGGACCGACAGCAACAUGAAGGCCAGGCUGAAGACUUUGCCGGAUUAACUGAGAGGAGGUGCAUGGCGUAGUCGUGU